UGUGUGAUAUAUAGAACAAGAGCGAAUGGCGCAAGCACAGCAAACGAAUAGAAUAUCAGCGCGAAAUUAAUUCAAAAUAUUCUACGUCCAAAUAAACCGAAAGCCAGAACAUAAAUGACUGAACAGAAACACGGAGAGACGGAGAAAAACCAGCAGCCUCAUCUGCUCUGAAAAAGGAAAAUGCGCUCAGUAAAACUCGCACACACUGAAAGCAGAUGCUACGCAUUUCCCACUGUACCCGGAGCGGAUUGUACGCUGCUCUCGCUUGCUCUCGUGAAACUUUUGGGGUGGGUAACAAACGCGACGGGGCAGAAUAUGUAUGUAUAUGUAUGGCAUGUGGUAUGUACAUAAGGGAGGCUUUCACGGACUCGGAGAGCCACCGCAGAGAGCGUAUUGUAUUAUUCUCCGAUCAGCAGAUAAAUAUAUUGCUUGCGCACAGUGGGUAUUAUUAUGCAUUUUGGCUACUUACUCGUCCACACUUUUGGACAGGGCUUCUGCCAGUGUCCUCAGCACUUUUCUGUCUAUCUCGGCCGCUCCAUUCUCCUCGAGGAAACUGGUGACAGUCUCAAUAAGAGUAAUUUCCUUCAAGGACGAGGCGCAGGUGAGAUUUGCGUUGUCGCAAAUGUCGCGAAGAGCCUGCUUGGACUGAUCCAUGUCUGUGGGUCCCGCUCCGGUUGAUUUUUACUAAUCUGUGGUAUUUUGGUUAGCUUAUUUCAGCGAAAUUUUAGUUUUAAUUUGAUAAGACACAAAACACAAACAA